rnacentral:rRNA from 1 species
UACGUAGGUGGCAAGCGUUAUCCGGAAUUAUUGGGCGUAAAAGCGCGCGUAGGCGGUUUUUUUUUAAGUCUGAUGUGAAAAGCCCACGGCUCAACCGUGGAGGGUCAUUGGAAACUGGAAAAACUUGAGUGCAGAAGAGGAAAAGUGGAAUUCCAUGUGUAGCGGUGAAAAUGCGCAGAGAUAUGGAGGAACACCAGUGGCGAAAGGCGACUUUUCUGGUCUGUAACUGACGCUGAUGUGCGAAAGCGUGGGGAUCAAAACAGGAUUAGAUACCCCGGUAGUCC